rnacentral:rRNA from 1 species
GCGGGAAACAAGAGUAUAUGGUGGAUGCCUAGACAUAAAGAAGCGAUGAAGGACGUGGCGUGACUGCGAUAAGCUCCGGGGAGGCGUCAAGCUACCUGUGAUCCGGAGAUUUCCGAAUGGGGCAACCCAUCCCGAUAAACUCGGGAUAUCUUUGCGCAAGCAAAGAAGUGCACCCGCUGAAGUGAAACAUCUCAGUAAGCGGAGGAAAAGAAAAAAAUUUCGAAGCAAUAUUUUCAGUAUGCAGUGCGCGCACGCGCGCUGUCCGCUGGGAAUAUCGCUUCGUCCAUUCCCUUAGUAGCGGCGAGCGAAAAGGGAACAGCCUAAACUUAAGUGCUCAGUAAUUUAUUACGAGGCGUUUGAGGGUUGCAGGGCAUACGUGCUUUUGCCGCAAGGCGAAACAGAGCAAAAAGUUUUUAGUAGUUAAUUAAAUUCUCAUGGAAAGGAGAGCCACAGAGGGUGAUAGCCCCGUCAAUGAAAAUUAUUAAAACGCUUUGAACGUGUGUUCCUAAGUAGUGCGGGGAACGAAAACCCCGUAUGAAUCCGGGAGAACUACUCUCCCAAGGCUAAAUAUUCUUUAUGAUCGAUAGUGAACAAGUACCGUGAGGGAAAGGUGAAAAGAACCCCGAUGAGGGGAGUGAAAUAGAACUGAAACCAUAUACUUACAAGGAGUCGGAGCCCGAAAUUUAUUUCGGGUGACGGCGUGCCUCUUGGAGAAUGAACCAACGACUUUAUGUAUACUGCUCGUCUAACCUUGUAUGAGGGAAGGCAAAGGGAAACCGAGUCUGAAUAGGGCGUUUUGCGCUUCUCUAUCGCUCGCGCUAAGCCGCAAGGCUUCGCGCACGGCGAUAGCGGAGUGCGCUGCAGUAUGCAUAAGACCCGAAACCAGAGCGAGCUUACCAUGACCAGGGUGAACCUCGGGUAACACCGAGGGGAGGCCCGAACCGGUAGGUCGUACAACUCCUUCGGAUGAGUUGUGGUAAGAAGUGAAAAGCUUAUCGAGCCUGGAAAUAGCUGGUUCUCCCCGAAAUAGCUCUAGGACUAGCCUCAAGCGUUUAUGAAUGGAGGUAGAGCACUGGAUGAGUUUGAAUGGCGCAAGCUGUCAAACCCAAUCAAACUCCGAAUUCCGUUCAACAUAGCUUGGGAGUAAGACUGUGGGGGCAAAGCUCCAUAGUCAAAAGGAGAAGAAUCCUGACCGCCGAUUAAGGUCCCCAAAUGUAAACUAAGUGAAAAAAGGAGGUGAGAUUUCGUAGACAGCUAGGAGGUUGGCUUAGAAGCAGCCACCCUUUAAAGAGUGCGUAACAGCUCACUAGUUUAGAGAUCUUGCGCCGAAAAUAUAACGGGGCUAAGUUUACUACCGAAAUCGCGGAUGCCGUUGCAUUUAUGCGGCGGCGUGGUAGGGGAGCGUUUCCAUCUGCUGUGAAGGUGAAGCGUGAGCUUUGCUGGAGCGUUGGGAAGUGCGAAUGUUGGUAUAAGUAACCGCAAUACCGGUGAAAGCCCGGUACACCGAAAGCCCGAGGUUUCCUUGGCAAUGACAAUCAGCCAAGGGUUAGUCGCACCUAAGGUGAUGCAGAGAUGCGUAACCGAUGGACAGCAGGUUAAUAUUCCUGCACCGCGUACAUGAUCGACGGAGUGACGCUAUAGAGUACACUGAUCGUAUUAUUGGAUUUACGUUCUUUGUCCGACGAAGUCUGCCAGGCAAAUCCGGCAGAUCCCUUCAAUGGGACUUCAGAGGGAUCGAGAAAAUGUUCGUAGCAAUACGGAUAAAUUCAGUGGAGCCUGUGGUCGAGAAAACCUUCUAAGAUUAUCGUGUGCGCGCGCGUACCGCAAAACCGACGCAGGUGGGCAGGUCGAGUAGACCAAGGUGAACGAGUGAGGGGUCGUUAAGGAACUCGGCAAAAAAGCAGCCGUAAGUUCGCAAUAAGGCUUGCCCCGCCCCAAUUUUGCUUCUGAAAAGUGUGCGCAGUGCGCCUGCCGAAUAGGCAGAUUCUGCUAUGGGCGAAGCGCUGCGCCCUAAAACGGAGUGCAGCUAUUCGCUGCUCGCACUUCGCAGUGUUAUUGGGAGGCAAAAUUGGGGCGGGGCCGCAGCUAAAGUAUCUCUGGCGACUGUUUAUCAAAAACACAGCUCUCUGCUAACUCGCAAGAGGAUGUAUAGAGGGUGACACUUGUCCGGUGCUGGAACGUUAACGGUGGAUGUCGAUGGUGUAGCAAUACAGUGUUGGCUAUCGCCCGAAGCGCCAGUGAACGACAGCGAUAACUAUAAUCGUUCUAAGGUAGCGAAAUUCCUUGUCAGGUAAGUUCUGACGCGCACGAAUAGUGUAACGACUGGAGAACUGUCUCAACGACUCGCUCGGUGAAAUUACAAUGAGGGUGAAGAUGCCCUCUUCCUGCAGUUAGACGAAAAGACCCCGGGAGCUUUACUGUCUCUUGUUAUUGUGAUGCGAUUUCUCAUGCGUAGCGUAGGCGGUAGACUUUGAAGUCUCGUUUUCGGACGGGAUGGAGUCGCCAAUGAAACACCGCUCUUGAGUGAUUGCAUUACUAACUUGUCGCGCCAAACGCGAUGAGGACAGUGGCUGGUGGACAGUUUUAGUGGGGCGCUAGCCUCCUAAAAGGUAACGGAGGCGUUUAAAGGUCAGCUAGGUCCGGAUGGAAAUCGGACUGAUAGUGUAAAGGCAUAAGCUGGCUUUACUGCAAGACGGACAUGUCGCGCAGUCGCGAAAGCGGAACUUAGUGAACCGACGCUACAUCGUAGGAUGGGCGAAGAUCAUCGGAUAAAAGCUACCCCGGGGAUAACAGGCUAGUCUUGCCCAAGAGUUCAUAUCGACGGCAAGGUUCGGCACCUCGAUGUCGGCUCGUCGCAUCCUGGGGGUGAAGAAGCUCCCAAGGGUUUGGCUGUUCGCCAAUUAAAGCGGCACGUGAGCUGGGUUCAAACCGUUCAGGUCGUGAUCACGGAUCAUGGGUUGAACCGUUUGAACCCGAGGUUAAGACAUUGUUCGCGGCGGCGCUCAUCAGUAAUGGUGAGUGAGAAGUUGACUCAUAUCGGUGGAACCCUGAUUAAAAUUUAGGGCAAUACCGAGGGAAAUUCCUUUCUAAUGGAAUACCCGUAGAGACUACACGUCAACUACCCUGAGCUUGUCGAAGGGUAAUGGUAUAGUCCAAUCCACGUAGUAAUACGUGACGUAGAUGCGUGAGACAGGUUGGUCUCCUAUCUACUGUAGGCGCAGAGACUUGAGGGGAGUUCUCUCUAGUAAGAAAUUGCUACUUCUUCGAGUAAUCGAAGUUGAAAAUUUGGCUAAUAACGGUGAAGUCUUCAUGCAUUGCGUGGUCCGUGGAUUAUGACAAUUGGCGCGGUCCGCCGGUUGAUGUAUAAUUACUUGAGGACCAGAUAAUUCUUAAGAUAAUACCGUGGGAAGUCGAUCUAAAACGCACUUAGCGUAUAUCGCCGGUUUUCUUGAUGGAGAUGGAAGUUUAAUGCUUCAGCUCAAAAAGAGAAAAGAUGGAAAUGUCGGAAUUCGUUUCAUGGCAACCAUCUGUUUCUAUCAAGAUUCGCGGCAUGACGAAACUUUAUUUUGGAUUCGUGAUAUUUUAGGUAUCGGUUAUCUUGCAAAAAGAAAUGAUGGUAUUUCCGAAUUGCGGAUAAACGGAUAUAAGCAAGCGAGGCGCAUCCUCGAUUGCUUGUCGCCUUAUAUACGAUUCAAGAAAGUUCAGGCUAAGGCUUUGCUUGAGGCUUGCGUAAUAUUGUGUGAAAGAACAAUUACAAAGCUGACCAAGCGACAACUACAAAAGCUUGUCGAUCUCAUGUUGGUGAUUCAGAAUCAAAACUAUGUCACCAAAAAGAAGAAGAGUCGAAGCGAGCUUUUGAAAGUUUUGGAUUUGACCCCGUAACGACUUGUUUCCCCGCGGUGAUCGGGGAACGGACUUAUAGAAAUCGGAAAGCUCAAAAAGCAGGUUUCUAUGGGUAAUACGCCGACUCCUCCUUCGUAAUAAAACGUUGGAGGAUGAAGAUAUAGUCUACACUCCUAGAAAUAGGGGAAUACGUGACGAGAGGACCGAGAGGAACAGACCGCUGGUGUGCCAGCUGUCCCGCCAGGGGCAUUGCUGGGUAGCUACGUCUGGAAGUGAUAAGAGCUGAAAGCAUCUAAGCUCGAAGCACACCCUAAGAUGAGGUCUCAUUGGGAGUAAUCCCAGAAGGAUCGUGGAAGAUGACCACGUUGAUAGGUUGCAGCUGUACGCGCGGUAACGCGCUCAGGCGAGCAAUACUAAUUAUCCGAUUC